GAUGAACGCUGGCGGCGUGCUUAACACAUGCAAGUCGAACGGAAAGGCUCCUGCUUGCAGGGGUACUCGAGUGGCGAACGGGUGAGUAACACGUGGGUGAUCUGCCCUGCACUUCGGGAUAAGCCUGGGAAACUGGGUCUAAUACCGGAUAGGAUCUCAUUUUGGAUGGUGUUGUGGAAAGUUUUUCGGUGUGGGAUGAGCUCGCGGCCUAUAAGCUUGUUGGUGGGGUAAUGGCGUACCAAGGCGUCGACGGGUAGCCGGCCUAAGAGGGUGUACGGCCAGAUUGGAACUGAGAGACAGCCCGGAGUACGGAGGGAGGCGGAAGGGGGGAAUGUUGGACAAAGGGAGGAAGCCUGAGGGAGGGACGCCGCGGGGGGGAUGAAGGCCUUCGGGUUGGAAACUCCUUUGGGUAGGGAAGAAGCGUUUUUGUGACGGUACCUGGAGAAGAAGCAACGGCUAACUACGUG
rnacentral:rRNA from 1 species